rnacentral:rRNA from 1 species
GGACGAACGCUGGCGGCGUGCUUAACACAUGCAAGUCGAGCGGUAAGGCCCUUUCGGGGGUACACGAGCGGCGAACGGGUGAGUAACACGUGGGUGACCUGCCCUCAGCUCUGGGAUAAGCCUGGGAAACCGGGUCUAAUACUGGAUAUGACUCCAUGACGCAUGUUGUGGGGUGGAAAGCCUUGUGCGGCUGAGGAUGGGCCCGCGGCCUAUCAGCUUGUUGGUGGGGUGAUGGCCUACCAAGGCGACGACGGGUAGCCGGCCUGAGAGGGCGACCGGCCACACUGGGACUGAGACACGGCCCAGACUCCUACGGGAGGCAGCAGUGGGGAAUCUUGCGCAAUGGGCGAAAGCCUGACGCAGCGACGCCGCGUGAGGGAUGACGGCC